UACGAGGGGGGCAAGCGUUGUUCGGAUUUAUUGGGCGUAAAGGGUGCGUAGGCGGUUUGGCAAGUCUUGUGUGAAAUCUUUGGGCUCAACCCAAAGCCUGCACAAGAAACUGCCGGGCUUGAGUAUGGGAGAGGUGAGUGGAAUUUCCGGUGUAGCGGUGAAUGCGUAGAUAUCGGAAGGAACACCUGUGGCGAAAGCGG
rnacentral:rRNA from 1 species